UAGCUCGUCAACCACCUCCGUAGCUUGCUAGCGAACAUAGCCGAAAUAUUCAAGCUAUUUAUACGCUUUCGGUGUAUAUUAGCUACUGUGUUUUAGACACACUUCUAUCGUAUCUACUCGUUAACCUAUUUAAUUUAUUAUUACGUUAUUUUGUAUUAGUCAGAUAUAGUAGCUGACUGGUUAAGUUAGCACUAGCCUAGUCGCUAAUGAUAGCUAGCUAGCUAACAUCCCAGAACAUGAGCUCCCUAAACUACUCUCCUGCUAAAGAAGAGGAGGUCUGCUGUACGGAGAAAGAAGCUCUGGGGCUGAACAUUGUCGUGAAAUAGGAGAAGGAAGAGGAGGAUGUCACAGUAAAACAAGUAGAGGAUGAGGUUGUUACAGUGAAAGAAGAGGAUGUCGUUUUUGGUGUGAAAGAAGAGGUUGGAGAUCUGUUUAACCCCACCAUUACAGAGACAGAGGCAUUGAUGUGAGUAACCAGUCUUGUUCAGUACAUUACAAUCUCAAGCACACCGGCAAAACACUGGAGUUGCAGUAAUUAACAUUUACCACCAGAUAGCAUCACUUACACCCAUAACAAACAUUGCAGAAACAUUGAAGCCCUUCAGACUAUAUCAGUGUCUAUUUGCCACACUUUUGAACACACUUCUGUCGUAUCUACUAGUUACCCCAUUUAAUGUAAUAUUUACGUUGUUAGUCGGAUAAAUUAGCCUAGCCCUGAGCUAAUGCUAACUAGCUAGCUAACAUCCCCGACCAUGAGUUCACUAAGCUACUCCCCUCCUGCUGAAGAAGAGGAGGUCUGCUGGACGGAAGAAGAAGCUCUUUGGCUGAACGUUGAUGUGAAAGAGGAGGAGGAAGAGGAUGAUGUCCCAGUAAAAAAAACAAGUAGAGGGUGAGGCUGUUACAGUGAAAGAAGAAGAGAAAGACAUUUCAGUGAAAGAAGAGGAAGAUGCAUUCAAAGUGAAAGAGGAGGAGGAUGUUACAGUAAAAGAAGAGGAGGAAGUGAAAGAGGAUGCCGUUUUUGGAUUGAAAGAGGAGGAAGAAGAGGAGACUGAAGUUCGGAUUAACACCAGAGAGAGACCAGACUCUGACAGCGGGAAGAGUUCCUUCGAGGAAACAGACCCAGAGACGACUAACCAACACCACUGCUCCCACUGUGGAAACAGUUUUAGGUGGUUAUGGGUCCUGAAAAAGCAAGAGAGAAUAUACACUGGAGAGAAGCCUUAUCACUGUUCUCACUGUGGAAAAAGUUUUAGGUGGUUAGUGAGCCUGAAAACACAUGAGAGAAUACACACAGGAGAAAAGCCUUUCUAACAUAUUAAUACACAGGAGGAGAAGACAUACCACUGCUCUCAUUGUGAAAAUACAUUUCCCAGUCAGAGGACCUGAAAUCACAUGAGAGAAUAGAGAAGCUGUGUUCUGACUUAUGUUUUUGACUGAGAAUUUGUCCACGGCCAGGAUUCAUAGGGCCAGGGUGUCCGUUAUGGACACCUGGAAAAAAUCAGCAGCGGACAUUUCUGAAUGUUUAUCCAACAGACCUGUACAUCUAUGAAUGGAUCUCUAUAAUGUGUAACUAUUUCUGAUGUAUGUAUUGUUAAACUGUACUAUGUUAGGUAUAUUUAUCUGUGGAUUUAUUUCAACAGAUUUGACUGAUUCUAUUAGAUUGCUGGGUGGGGGGGUUUAUAUAUGCAGUGCCUUUCAGAAAGUUUUCACACCCCUUGACUUGUCCCACAUUUUGUUGUGUUACAGCCUGAAUUUAAAAUGGAUUCAAUUCCCCAUAAUGUCAAAGUGGAAUUACGUUUUUGGAAAUGUUUACAAAUGUAAUUAAAAGCCUAAUUAAG